rnacentral:lncRNA from 1 species
GGGAGAGGAAGGCAGGCAGCCGUGCCACACGUAGGCACCAAGCUGGUCCCCUGUGGACACUGUCCUUUAGUCCCCACUGCUGCCCUUCAGAGCAGAUAUGCCACUUGCCUCCCUUUCCAAUAAGGUUUGUGGCCCCGAGGAGGAGCAGUUUGCCGGGUCACUCAAGAGCCUGGAGGGACCUGGCUUGGGCCCAGAGGCACCUAAGGAGCCGCACAGCUCCCGCCCGCCCGCCCGCCCGCGGGGCUCGCGGCCCCUCCCGUCGGGGCUGCUGCCGCCGCGGCUGCUGCUGCAGGGCCCGCGGCCGCUGGACAGCGCCGGCCUCCAGAAGUGAUAGCUAAUUGGGCAGAGAAAGGGCCCGAUUGUCUGGCGGGGCCGGAAGAGCGGGCGUGGGCGGCUGAAAGCGCCGGGAGAAGGUGGCCCGCUUCGCCCAGCAGCUGCCGCCGGAGACGUUUGGAGAUUACGUCAGCGCUGGCGGCGGGGGAGCCUCCCCCCACCCGGGCCCUGACAAUGCGGCCCUUGUCGGCCCCGAGAGCCGCGCGCUCGGGAUGAAUGGCGCGGGGCCUCUUCUCCAAGGAGGCUGCUCGCGUCCCCGGUCUGUCUUCUCCUGCCAGGGGGGCCCUGGGUUGGGGCGUGGAGGGAACAGGGUCGGUCCCUUAGAGUGGCGGCCGCGGGCCUCGGAGACACCCCCCCCCCUCCACGGCUGGACUGAGCUGGCGGCCCCGGCUCCUGGACGCCUGGCUGGCACUUGGCACGGCCGGCCUGGAACCCGUGCCCGGACCUGGCUGUAGACCGUCUGCGCCCGGGGGCUGCCCGCCCUGGGCAUGGCAUCCUGGUUUGGGGAAGGCACGGGCCCCGACCCGCUCAUGGUCCUGCUGGUCAUCAUCCUGCUGGCCCGCUUCAUUCUGUGGUCCUGCCUGGGGACCUACAUCGAUUACAGGCUGGCCCGGCGGCAGCGGCCCGGCAAACCCAAGGAGGACUAGGGCCUCCGCCGGCUGGUGGCCUCCAGCUUUAGGCACCAAAGGGCCUUCCCUCCAGGAGGGCGCUGUCCCAGAGCUGUCCCGUCCUGGGGAGCUGUGGGCAGGGGGGCGCAGGGCGGGGAGACACCGCUACCUCCCACCCACAGGGCAGAGGUGGACCAGCCCCACCUGGACGGAGCAGGGCUGUCCUGGUCACAUCCCCUGACCCGUGUUGGGGGGAUGGAGGGGCCCCCUGCCCGCCCGUCCAUCAGGUUCUGGGGUCCCCCAUCCGUGUGCGUGAUCCUGGGGAUGGGUCUUCCUUUAAGACAUUCUCUGCUUCCGAUUCUUUAUAAAUGUGUGGGCAGGAAGAGGAGGGGGUGGAUGCGCCAAAGGGGUCGGGAGGGGGAGGGCACAGGGUAGCCAACCCUGCCACCAAAAGCCACCCCCGACGCAGUCUCCAGCAGGCGUGAGAGUGAGCCCAGACGGCGCCUUGGUUUCCCCGGAGCAGUCCCCUGGGAGGGUGUCAGCAUAACCUGUGACUCUGAGUUCAAGUCCAGCUCCAGCUGACCACAGGCAGACGCUUUCCCCAGCUCUUAAAUGGGCCCUUUAGUCCCCGCCCUCCUCCCUCAGAAGGUUCCCGGGAAGGUCCUCCAGCUUCAAGACACUGUGGAAAGUAACAUCGUGUCUUUUCUAGCAAAGGAAAUCUUGGUGACUCCGUUUUGCUCUGGUUUCGGCUGAAACGCCCGCCUGCGACCCCCUCCUCCUUCCCUCUUCUCCCAGGAACAAGUUGUUUCAAAGGAGCCACCCGAGAAGAAUGUGCGCCCUGACCUGACCCACGGGAAGGGGACAGGUCCAUCCCCUGCGUUAGGGGUCAAGAGGGAGGGUCUUUUCUUCUGUGCUUUUGAGCAUGCGCGCCCUGCUGCAGAAGUAAAAUGCCUUGUCGAGCUCUCCCCGGGUUCAGGCGUCUCAGUUUCCGACACGGACCAUCUGAGCCGUGUCCCCAACAACAUGAGGGCGAUUUAGUGGGGAAGCCCCAGGACCUGGGCCCCUCUGUGCUGUUACGUGUGUGGCUGAGACACCCCUGAGAAGACGGACAGGCAGGCAAACUUGACCGGAGCCCAAGAAUCCUGCGCCCCCUACGGCCACCUCCCGUCCCGCCUGCUGGUUCCCACCUGACCUCAGAAGCAGUGCUAUAGCUCGGAGUUUCUGUACCUGGCGGCAGAUUCGUAUCAUCUGGGAGAUUUUGGCAACACGGCCAAGCCCCCCAGACUGAGAAGCGUCAGCUGACUGAUUUCAAGACGCUCUUGGGAGACGGGGGCCUGGUGACGCUGGGAAUUCCAAAAGGAUUUGGGUCAGCGUGGAGUCUUAGGUGGCCAUUAGGGGGCUGGAGUCGCUUGGGCCCCCAUCGCUGGGAGCUGUCUGCCUUGCAGCAUCCUGCAGCGGGGACCACAGGCGUGAUACGCCCAGGCCUGGUGUGUGGCUGUCCUGUGGUUUCUGUUACUUGCAACUGAUGAAAUUACUCAUCAGAGUUUGUCAAAAUUACUCAUCUUAUAGUAUAAGCUCUCUGCAUCCAGAUGUCAACCGCCUACAGCCUCCUGACACGUGCCUGACACGGUGCAGGCACUACUCCCUGUGGCUGAGUGGGUGAGAGGUGCGCCCGGCUCUACACAGCCAGCAGCUGCAUAUUCAGCUGCAAGUAACAGCUAGACAGAUAGUCACUUGAACAAGAAAAGUUGUUUCUUUUUCUUUUUUUUUUUUGCUCUUUAGGGCCACACCAGAGGCAUAUGGAAGUUCCUGGGCUAUGGGUUGAAUUGGCGCUGCAGCUGCCAGCCUGCACCACAGCCACAGCAAGGCCAAAUCCAAGCCGUGUCUGUGACCUAUGCCACAGCUCAUGGUAAUGCCAGAUCCUUAACCCACUGACUGGGGCCAGGGAUGGAACCCACAUUCUCAUGAAUACUAGCUGGGUUUGUAAGCUGCUGAGCUACCAUGGGAACUCUGAGAAGUUUUUUCUGUUUAUUCUCUUACAUGCAGCAAGAAGGUCUGGGACUUUCCUGGUGGUACAGAGGGUCAAGGAUCUGGCAUUGUCACUGCUCUGACUUGGGCUGCAGCUGUGACACAGGUUCGAUCCCUGAGCCGGGAUCAAACUUCCCCAUGUCACAGGUGCGGCUUAAAAAAAAGAGAAGUCUGAGCUGGCAUUGGGCAUCCCCAGUCUGUGGUAUGGCAACUCCCUGAUGACAUCGGGGGUGUUCUGGGUAGUCAAGAAUUAACCUACCCAAGGAGCAUUCUGGCCUUUGCCCUUGGCUCCUGGGAAGGGAUCUCCAGGCCCUCGAAUGUUGUGCCUGAUAAAAGUGUUUAACUGGACCUGGGGUCACCUCAGACAGUCUAAGGGUGUGACUUUUGAUGGGAGCUUCGGGCCCGGCGGGGUCCGGCUGAAGGCCAGACGUGUGGGCGGGCCUGUGCAACUGGGGGCAGAAGCCAAUGAAAACUGCAGACGGAGGCUCGGGGGCCUUGCUGGUUGGCGGGGUUCGGAGGGUGUUGCUUGGAGGAGCUGGCCCCAUCCUGGACUCCGUGGGGAAGGUGACCAAAGCUCCGUGGACGGAGCUUUCCUGGAUUCUGCCCCAAGCACCUCUGCUCCUGGCUGAUGUUAACUCUAUUUUGCUGUAAUAAAUGGUAACCAUGA